UACGGAGGAUGCAAGCGUUAUCCGGAAUGAUUGGGCGUAAAGCGUCCGCAGGUGGCUGUGUAAGUCUGCUGUUAAAGAGUGAGGCUCAACCUCAUAAAGGCAGUGGAAACUACAUGGCUAGAGUGCGUUCGGGGCAGAGGGAAUUCCUGGUGUAGCGGUGAAAUGCGUAGAGAUCAGGAAGAACACCGGUGGCGAAAGCGCUCUGCCAGGCCGCAACUGACACUGAGGGACGAAAGCUAGGGGAGCGAAUGGG
rnacentral:rRNA from 1 species